UACGGGGGGGGCAAGCGUUGUUCGGAAUUACUGGGCGUAAAGGGCUCGUAGGCGGCCAACUAAGUCCGACGUGAAAUCCCCAGGCUUAACCUGGGAACUGCGUCGGAUACUGGUUGGCUUGAAUCCGGGAGAGGGAUGCGGAAUUCCAGGUGUAGCGGUGAAAUGCGUAGAUAUCUGGAGGAACACCGGUGGCGAAGGCGGCAUCCUGGACCGGUAUUGACGCUGAGGCGCGAAAGCCAGGGGAGCAAACGGG
rnacentral:rRNA from 1 species